CAACGCUCAAAGCUAAGGAGCUCUUGAAAACCUUUAAGAGUACUUCGGCAAAAGCCUUCCCCAGAAUGUAAGUUUCACGAACACCAAGACAUUGAUGUGACGAUGACUGUAUCUAUAAUGCCUGAAAAUUGCCUAGCACAGAGACCGAACACUCCGAGAGCUUCCCAACCUUCCUCCACCCUCUUGCGGAAAAAGCCGAAGGCAGAGUAAGGCGCCGAAGCA